CAUUACGAUUUACGAAUAUAUGUUUAUUCAUUAUAACAGCCUGUGAUGAAAACAAUAACCUAACCUAACCUACCUUUUUAAUUAAUAACAUUGCAACUUUUGACGUUUCUUUCGCAUGCGCAAAUUGUACGGAGUUUAGGCCUUCUACGAAGUGGCACUACUUCAAUUUCUUCUUCUUCAUCAUUCGAAAUAAAAUCGAAAUUGCAAAACAUCACAUACAAUAAUGGCGCAAAAAAAUAUUCAAACAAACAAAACACUUUAGAGGUUAGGACUACCAGAAAAUCUGCUAGUCAAUCAUACUAUUAGUCAACGCCAUUUUUUUUCUUUGACUAGAGGUGGUAAAACGACAAAGUGACGGUCAACUGUUUGUCAAGCGUUGACUACCAGUCGACUAGAGGUGGUAAAACCGAGCCUUAAAGUUGUUGAUUUUUGUGAUCAAAUCAAGGACAAGUCUCCAAUGCGAGUUACGUAAAUUAUUUGCGAUGGUAAAGGACACAAGAGCGGUUAAGAAAGGUUGUAAUUAUAGCAUAUCCAUUGAAAAAGACACUAGUCAACAAUAUACGUUUAAAUGAAAUGGUUUCAACAUUUGCUUUUGCGUGUAAUUAUACUUAAUACCAUUUUUUGUAUUAUAUUUAUUGUUAAUCAAAUAUAAGUAUUAUCUUUGUUUGUGAUAUUGUAUUCCUUUUUAAAUUAUACAUUAGUGAACUUGA